rnacentral:rRNA from 1 species
GACGAACGCUGGCGGCGUGCUUAACACAUGCAAGUCGAACGGAAAGGCCCUGCUUUUGUGGGGUGCUCGAGUGGCGAACGGGUGAGUAACACGUGAGUAACCUGCCCUUGACUUUGGGAUAACUUCAGGAAACUGGGGCUAAUACCGGAUAGGAGCUCCUGCUGCAUGGUGGGGGUUGGAAAGUUUCGGCGGUUGGGGAUGGACUCGCGGCUUAUCAGCUUGUUGGUGGGGUAGUGGCUUACCAAGGCUUUGACGGGUAGCCGGCCUGAGAGGGUGACCGGCCACAUUGGGACUGAGAUACGGCCCAGACUCCUACGGGAGGCAGCAGUGGGGAAUAUUGCACAAUGGGCGGAAGCCUGAUGCAGCAACGCCGCGUGCGGGAUGACGGCCUUCGGGUUGUAAACCGCUUUCGCCUGUGACGAAGCGUGAGUGACGGUAAUGGGUAAAGAAGCACCGGCUAACUACGUGCCAGCAGCCGCGGUGAUACGUAGGGUGCGAGCGUUGUCCGGAUUUAUUGGGCGUAAAGGGCUCGUAGGUGGUUGAUCGCGUCGGAAGUGUAAUCUUGGGGCUUAACCCUGAGCGUGCUUUCGAUACGGGUUGACUUGAGGAAGGUAGGGGAGAAUGGAAUUCCUGGUGGAGCGGUGGAAUGCGCAGAUAUCAGGAGGAACACCAGUGGCGAAGGCGGUUCUCUGGGCCUUUCCUGACGCUGAGGAGCGAAAGCGUGGGGAGCGAACAGGCUUAGAUACCCUGGUAGUCCACGCUGUAAACGGUGGGUACUAGGUGUGGGGUCCAUUCCACGGGUUCCGUGCCGUAGCUAACGCUUUAAGUACCCCGCCUGGGGAGUACGGCCGCAAGGCUAAAACUCAAAGGAAUUGACGGGGCCCCGCACAAGCGGCGGAGCAUGCGGAUUAAUUCGAUGCAACGCGUAGAACCUUACCUGGGUUUGACAUGGAUCGGGAGCGCUCAGAGAUGGGUGUGCCUCUUUUGGGGUCGGUUCACAGGUGGUGCAUGGCUGUCGUCAGCUCGUGUCGUGAGAUGUUGGGUUGAGUCCCGCAACGAGCGCAACCCUUGUUCACUGUUGCCAGCACGUUAUGGUGGGGACUCAGUGGAGACCGCCGGGGUCAACUCGGAGGAAGGUGGGGAUGACGUCAAGUCAUCAUGCCCCUUAUGUCCAGGGCUUCACGCAUGCUACAAUGGCUGGUACAGAGAGUGGCGAGCCUGUGAGGGUGAGCGAAUCUCGGAAAGCCGGUCUCAGUUCGGAUUGGGGUCUGCAACUCGACCUCAUGAAGUCGGAGUCGCUAGUAAUCGCAGAUCAGCAACGCUGCGGUGAAUACGUUCCCGGG